CUGUCACAACGGCUUCCUGGCGUGACAGUUGGUUUUAAUGGAGCA
rnacentral:ncRNA from 1 species